GCCGAAGUGGCGGAAUUGGUAGACGCACCGUCUUGAGGGGGCGGCGGGGGUAACCCCGUGCGGGUUCGAGUCCCGCCUUCGGCACCA
rnacentral:tRNA from 1 species